rnacentral:rRNA from 1 species
UACGAAGGGUGCAAACGUUGCUCGGAAUUAUUGGGCGUAAAGCGCACGUAGGCGGCAUAGCAAAUCGAAUGUGAAAUCCCUCGGCUUAACCAAGGAAGUGCAUCCGAAACUGCUGUGCUUGAGUACGAAAGAGGAUCGCGGAAUUCCCGGUGUAGAGGUGAAAUUCGUAGAUAUCGGGAGGAACACCAGUGGCGAAGGCGGCGAUCUGGGUCGAUACUGACGCUGAGGUGCGAAAGCGUGGGGAGCAAACAGG